rnacentral:rRNA from 1 species
AUUGAACGCUGGCGGCAGGCCUAACACAUGCAAGUCGAGCGAGCGGCGGACGGGUGAGGAAUGUAUCGGGAUCUGCCUGGUGGAGGGGGAUAACUAAGGGAAACUGUCGCUAAUACCGCAUACCAUCAGAUGAGCCCAUGUGGGAUUAGCUUGUAGGUAAGGUAAAGGCUUACCUAGGCGACGAUCCCUAGCUGGUCUGAGAGGAUGAUCAGCCACACUGGGACUGAGACACGGCCCAGACUCCUACGGGAGGCAGCAGUGGGGAAUAUUGCACAAUGGGCGCAAGCCUGAUGCAGCCAUGCCGCGUGUAUGAAGAAGGCCUUCGGGUUGUAAAGUACUUUCAGUCGGGAGGCGUUACCGACAGAAGAAGCACCGGCUAACUCCGUGCCAGCAGCCGCGGUAAUUC